GAUGAACGCUGGCGGCGUGCCUAAUACAUGCAAGUCGAGCGAACAGACGAGGAGCUUGCUCCUCUGACGUUAGCGGCGGACGGGUGAGUAACACGUGGAUAACCUACCUAUAAGACUGGGAUAACUUCGGGAAACCGGAGCUAAUACCGGAUAAUAUAUUGAACCGCAUGGUUCAAUAGUGAAAGACGGUUUUGCUGUCACUUAUAGAUGGAUCCGCGCCGCAUUAGCUAGUUGGUAAGGUAACGGCUUACCAAGGCAACGAUGCGUAGCCGACCUGAGAGGGUGAUCGGCCACACUGUAACUGAGAGACUGUCCAGCAUCCUACGGGAGGCAGCAGUAGUGAAUCUUCCGCAAUGGGCGAAAGCGUGACGGAGCAACGCCGCGUGAGUGAUGAAAGUCUUCGGAUCGUAAAACGCUGUUAUUAGGGAAGAACAAAUGUGUAAGUAACUAUGCACGUCUUGACGGUACCUAAUCAGAAAGCCACGACUAACUACGUG
rnacentral:rRNA from 1 species